ensembl:miRNA Mir6402 microRNA 6402
GGGAUGGGAAUAUUAUAACUGUUUAGAGGGAGGUCAAAGAGGCACAGGCGCUCUCUGAGCAGUUUUCCCAGGAACCCGCA